rnacentral:rRNA from 1 species
CGCGUAGGUGGUUUGUUAAGUUGGAUGUGAAAGCCCCGGGCUCAACCUGGGAACUGCAUCCAAAACUGGCAAGCUAGAGUACGGUAGAGGGUGGUGGAAUUUCCUGUGUAGCGGUGAAAUGCGUAGAUAUAGGAAGGAACACCAGUGGCGAAGGCGACCACCUGGACUGAUACUGACACUGAGGUGCGAAAGCGUGGGGAAGCAAACAG